rnacentral:lncRNA from 1 species
GCUCGUUGACUGGAUUUCCGGGCAACACAAGAGGUUGGAAGAUGUUUUCUUGAAGCUCGAUACGCUGUUUCAAGGUGUGGUCGAUGAUCAUUUACAUCCUGGAAAAAUAUCAAAAGAUCACAGAGAUAUUGUCGAUUUAAUGUUGGAUGUGGCGCAUCAACAAGACAAAGAUGAUGAUUCCUUGAAGCUCACGAUAAAUCACAUUAAGGCACUACUAACGGUAAAAAAAUAAAAAGCUAGACUUGUUUCAACACAUUCGCAUUGAAAACUUAAUCUGCUUAUUUAAAUUAGUUUCCGCGUGUUUGCUAGAAUCUAUUUCUGGGAGGGAUAGACACAGGGGCUAUUACCAUGACAUGGGCAAUGACAGAGCUAGUUAGGAACCCUGAAGUGAUGAAGAAAGUUCAACACGAGAUCAGAGACCGUCUUGGCAACAACAAGGAGAGAAUCACUGAAGAAGAUAUCAAUAAAGUUCCUUUCUUGAACAUGGUAAUCAAAGAAACAUUUAGAUUACACCCAGCAGCUCCUCUUCUGCUCCAAAGGGAAACAAUGGCUCACGUGAAGGUUCAAGGCUAUGAUAUUCCUCCAAAGAGAAGGAUCUUGGUCAAUGCUUGGGCGAUAGGAAGAGAUCCGAAAUACUGGACAAACCCAGAAGAGUUUAACCCCGAGAGGUUUAUCGAUAGCCCUGUCGAUUAUAAAGGAAAACAUUUCGAGUUCUUACCGUUUGGGUCUGGCCGAAGGAUAUGUCCAGGUAUAGCAAUGGGGAUAGCUACUGUGGAAUUGGGACUCUUGAACUUACUUUACUUCUUCGAUUGGAGAGCACCUGAUGGGAUGACACAUAAAGACAUCGAUGCAGAAGAAGCUGGUACUCUUACAGUCAUCAAGAAAGUACCUCUCAAACUUGUCCCCGUUGGAGUUCAGUGAUUGCACCAAACUCCAGUUCCAGACUUUGUAUAAACUUUCUCUGUACAUCCUGUAAUAAACAACGGAAACGUAUGUAAAAAGUAUCUGUAGUAAGAUGAUGUUAGAAAGAACAUGAUGCUGCUUUGCUAUGAAUAGAUAAGUUUCAUCGCAAAAGUUUGGAUAUAGCUGUGCCAUGGACGCUAC